rnacentral:rRNA from 1 species
UACGGAGGGUGCAAGCGUUAAUCGGAAUUACUGGGCGUAAAGCGCGCGUAGGCGGUUGAUUAAGUCCGCUGUGAAAGCCCUGGGCUUAACCUGGGAACUGCAGAGGAUACUGAUGAGCUAGAGUGUGGUAGAGGGUAGUGGAAUUUCCGGUGUAGCAGUGAAAUGCGUAGAGAUCGGAAGGAACACCAGUGGCGAAGGCGACUAUCUGGACCAACACUGACGCUGAGGUGCGAAAGCGUGGGGAGCAAACAGG